CAGGAAAAAUGAUCUGGCUCAAAGCCAACUUCCCUAUACGAGAUAGGAUUUCGAUGAGAGUAGUGUCCUCAGCAUUAGAACGGACAUCUAAGACAUCAGCACACAAAAUCACAUCAAACCAUGUCAGGCAAACGGCAUUACGGUUAUUUCCGAUGUCCAAAAUGUAACGCAAAAUGGGAGAGUGCUCAGGUCUACAGUGUGAGCGCCAAUCAGCAAGAAUACUACAAACAAGAUUGUAAGAACUGCCGAAUCGCAUGUAGUCCCUACAAAGUCGAGCCUCUCCAGUGCCCGAACUGUGGAAAGCCCGCUAAACUAUGCCAGUGUCCAAAGCGUCACACAGACCCGUCAAAGGGACACCGAAGUGACCUGUGCCACAAGUGUCAAUCAGGACGACCAUGCUACUAAUGUUGAUCCACAGUCAAAUGUUUCAGGUGUUAUAUUAAUUAUAAAAAAAAAAAAAUGUAUUCAAAAUAACAUGGAAUACGACGACGGUUAAUUACGAAAACUUCGAGAUCUUUGUAUAGUUGUAGAUUUUUCAAUAACGUGACUAGAGUUUAUCAAAGAGAACUUGUAUCUUAUCUAUAAUGUUUUAUGCCUGUAAACGGCUGUGGAAAAAAAUAAUUGAAUUCGGAUUUUCAAUCUAUAAAAAUUCAAAAAUCAUCACUAUUUUUACUUAUAUAUGUAGAUGACAAGCCAUUUUAUUUUAAUUAUGUUGAUUUUACUUAUUGCAUGGUUAGCUUAACGACAAAUUAACACAAAAUUGUAACCACACAUAUCUUCAAAAAUAACUAAAUUCGAAACUAAAAGAUUGUGUAAAAAGACUAAAAUAAAAUCAUCUUAUGACAAUAAACAAGUAUUUGAAAUUAAAUCUUAAGGAAGCAUAUACAUGUAAUAUUUUACCUGCAGAGUGCAAAGAAGGUUGUUUUAUGAACUUAAAAAAAUAUCUUAAGUACUGUAGGUGAUGUUUUAUACAAUUAUAAUUUAUUGUAUAUUUAAUAACCUCUUGACCAAAUGUAAGACGAGACGUUGACUCAACUUUGUCAUCAAGUAUAAAUAAAAAAACAAAUUAAAACUUGUUUUAAUGUAAUGUAUGCAGUCAGACUUUCUAUGCUUUUGCAUAACUUCUUUUACUUGCGGAAGGAGGUAUGUUGGCGUAUGAGUGAUGUGGUCCGACCGGUUACAUGUGCGCAUUGGUAUGUUGCGAAAUUUAGAUCAUUAUAAAAACAAAUGACGCAGCAGCUCCUAUUCAGAAGUUGAUAAAAGAAGAUGGCGAAACAAGUUUCGUACGGUUAAGGUCAAUUUUAUUUCAACUUGACAAAGUUUUGUAUUGUUUUAUCUGAACACAGAUUGUAGUAUAUAAAAGACAAAUUUGUCCCACCGCCAUCCCCUACUUUCCUCCUUUCUGAAUCUGCAUAAGUUAAUGUAUUGGUGUACAACAUUUUCUUUUGCGACUUAAGUAAUGUAUCGAUGUUAUAUCAUGUAUUUUGUGUGUAAAAAUAAUGUAUUCUAACAAGCAUUAAUAUUUCGUCAAGUAUAUUGUGUAUGGCGGAAUAGGACCCCCAUCUAAGACUCUUUGUGUCUAUUUAUAUGACAAAUUGUGAAUGUCAUAACAACCGUCGUGUAUUGUAAUAAACGGCCAUAUUCAAUUCAGA
rnacentral:lncRNA from 1 species